rnacentral:snRNA from 1 species
GGUCUCUGUUUCAAUCUUGUCCU